rnacentral:rRNA from 1 species
GACGAACGCUGGCGGCGUGCUUAACACAUGCAAGUCGAGCGAUGAAGCUUCUUCGGAAGUGGAUUAGCGGCGGACGGGUGAGUAACACGUGGGUAACCUGCCUCAUAGAGGGGAAUAGCCUUUCGAAAGGAAGAUCAAUACCGCAUAAGAUUGUAGUACCGCAUGGUACAGCAAUUAAAGGAGCAAUCCGCUAUGAGAUGGACCCGCGUCGCAUUAGCUAGUUGGUGAGGUAACGGCUCACCAAGGCGACGAUGCGUAGCCGACCUGAGAGGGUGAUCGGCCACAUUGGGACUGAGACACGGCCCAGACUCCUACGGGAGGCAGCAGUGGGGAAUAUUGCACAAUGGGGGAAACCCUGAUGCAGCAACGCCGCGUGAGUGAUGACGGUCUUCGGAUUGUAAAGCUCUGUCUUUAGGGACGAUAAUGACGGUACCUAAGGAGGAAGUCACGGCUAACUACGUGCCAGCCGCCGCCGUAAUAC